ACGGCCUGCCUGUGGCAGGGUGAAAAACAGGAAACUGUCAACACCUGAUUCCUCCUCUUGUCUACGCCAGAGAAAAGCCCUGACAUGUGGGGCUUGGGACUAGUUGCUCACUGCUCCCCAUCCUCCCUGUUCCACCUUGGAGCUUGGCCCUAACACAGGGGUUGGCAGUGGGACGGAACUGGCUGGCUCUGUCAUCUGGACUCCAUAGCAUCAUUUCACUUCCGGCCGCAUCACCCUCCUUGUGGAAUAUGGCCUUGAGGUUGCACGUUGGUAAUCCCUCCUGCUUAAUGACAGUGUGCCAUGGGUAAAGCUCAUUUCUCCUUUCCUGCAGGCCCAGCUCUCCAUGAGGAUGGCAAGGACAGGAAGAUGUGUCUCAGCAGCAACCUUCCAGAAUGUCCCGUAUAUCCUUGUGUGGAGGAUGCUGCUUGCACACAUGGAUGCCAGGAGAGCCAGCUCUGCCCAUCUCAGGCCAAGGUUUCCACCACGCAGGUGUGCCCAGCAGUGACCUCACCAGAAUCUUGAGUUCCAGAAAGUCAUAUACACAGCCCAGUUCCCUGCUAUCCUUGUUUCCUCUUUCUAUACCACUUCUAGAUAGUCCUGUAGGAAUGUCUACUUCUGGGUGUGUACUAGGCUUCUGCAUACACCUCUUGUACUGUCAUAUUAUUCUUUUUUUUUUUUUUGAAAUGUAGUCUUGCUCUGUCACCCAGGCUGGAGUGCAGUGGCACAAGCUCAGCUCACUGCAACUCCAUCUCCCAAGUUCAAGCGAUUCUCCUGCCUCAGCCUCCCGAGGAGCUGGGAUUACAGGCACCUGCCAUCAUGCACGGGUAAUUUUUGUAUUUUUACU
rnacentral:lncRNA from 10 species